rnacentral:rRNA from 1 species
GUGUCAGCCGCCGCGGUAAGACGUACCACCCAAACGUUAUUCGGAAUCACUGGGCUUAAAGGGUCCGUAGGCGGCGAAGAAAGUUGGGUGUGAAAUACCUCAGCUCAACUGAGGAAUUGCGCUCAAAACUACUUUGCUCGAGAAAGACAGAGGUGAGCGGAACUGAUGGUGGAGCGGUGAAAUGCAUUGAUAUCAUCAGGAACACCGGUGGCGAAAGCGGCUCACUGGGUCUUUUCUGACGCUGAUGGACGAAAGCUAGGGGAGCGAACGGGAUUAGAAACCCUAGUAGUCC